rnacentral:rRNA from 1 species
GACGAACGCUGGCGGCGUGCUUAACACAUGCAAGUCGAACGAGACGAUUGAAAGCUUGCUUUCGAAAGUCGAGUGGCAAACGGGUGAGUAACGCGUAGACAACCUGCCUUUGAGAUGGGGACAACAGUUCGAAAGGACUGCUAAUACCGAAUGUUGUAUAUUUUCCACAUGGAAGAUAUAUUAAAGAUGGCCUCUAUUUAUAAGCUAUCGCUCAAAGAUGGGUCUGCGUCUGAUUAGCUGGUUGGUGGGGUAACGGCCUACCAAGGCGACGAUCAGUAGGCGGUCUGAGAGGAUGAACGGCCACAUUGGGACUGAGACACGGCCCAGACUCCUACGGGAGGCAGCAGUGGGGAAUCUUCCACAAUGGACGAAAGUCUGAUGGAGCAACGCCGCGUGAGUGAAGAAGGGUUUCGGCUCGUAAAGCUCUGUUGUCGGGGACAAAUGUGCAGUAUUUGAAUAAAGUACUGCAAUGACGGUACCUGACGAGGAAGCCACGGCUAACUACGUGCCAGCCGCCGCGGUAA